CAGAAGGCUUGACGAUCUCCACCCAGCUUAACUCUCGUCCUGACUACUUGGCGAUACUAAAAGAGAUGAUACUCUG
rnacentral:snoRNA from 1 species